ACGACAGAACAUGGCACACUAGCCUAAUCCUAAGGGUUGCAGUUACAAGUAUAAAUCCACCCAAUCAUUAGCCAUAAUAAUUGGACAAGAUUGCCUAACCAUGGGGGCAAAGAUUAGGCAUGAGAAACGAUCUGUAUUUUGCCCAAGUUAGAACAUGUUAAAUGCCUACAACUUUAAUUCUCUUCCACUUUUCAAUAUAAUAAAAUAAUAAUAACAAGGAUGAGUAGUCAUCAAUCUAUACAUUUUUAUUCAGUACUUCAACUACAACAAAAAAAUAUAAAAUUUUGAUUUAUUUCUUAUACAAUUUCCAGUGACCGAUUACUCAAAGCAAAUGAUUAGCAUCACUACAGACAAUUGAUUAUCACCUUUUCCCAACUCAAAUUUGUCCCUUUAAGUACUCAUUAAUUCUAACAUAAAGCCAAUUUAAUUGUUAAUUCUUAUCCUCCCAAGCCGACACCAUACAUAACCCCUUUCACAAUCAUGCAAUGUACAUGAUUCAUUAUUUUCAAUUCUCUCAUUGUCAUUCACGUAAACACAAACAUACAAUUAAUAUACUAAGAAAAUUUUAAGUAAAAGAGUCACCUGAAGCACUCGUGAUUUUUCUUCGUUUAAAGGCCUCUUUCUGCUAUUACGCUCUUCUCCUCUUUUAUUUUAGAUUAUUUAUUACCCUAAUUAUAAAAGAAAAAACUAUCUAUAUACACACCUUUAGUUUUCAUAAUUUUGAUUAAUCCCUAUUAUUUAAAAUACUUCUAAAAUUCCUUAUUUUCCCCCUAAUUCUUAAGUCAACAGAUACAUUACUCCUAACACAACAACCCACGUUCCCUUUCUAUUUUUGUUCCUUAAAUCUCUCCCUUAUUUCACUCCCAUAAUCUGAUUAGUUACAUCCUUGAUCCCAAUUUGAAUUUAAAAGGUUUCUCUCUCUAGUUGCAAUUGAUUUCAAAUCAACUUUUCAUCUUUUCCAUUCUACUGUUCUUCAUUUUUGAGUGACAGGAAAGACUGAUGGUCAACCCCAAAUCGACAAUAUAAGUUCAUCAAGUUGUAAUGAUUAUUAGAUAUAAAUUUUUGAUAUAUGUUUGAUAUUUUCUUUGUUAGUUAUUUCAAAAAUCUGAUAUAAUAAUGACAAGGUAUUGUUCUCAUAAGGUCAUGUAUCAUAUGUUUAAGUAUUAUCUAGAUACAUUAAAUUCUAAUUUUAUUCUCGUUUCGAACAGUUGUUAUGAAUUUAUGAAGUUAUAAAGUUUUAAUUGUAGAAUAGGUUAUAAUUUGUAGAAUCUUAUAUUAUAUAUUAUAAUUAAACCUGAUACAUAAUAA